UACGUAGGGGGCUAGCGUUGUCCGGAUUUACUGGUCGUAAAGAGCGCGCAGGCGGUCGUUCAAGUCGAGUGUGAAAGCCCCCGGCUCAACUGGGGAGGGUCACUCGAUACUGAUCGACUCGAAGGCAGGAGAGGGAAGCGGAAUUCCCGGUGUAGUGGUGAAAUGCGUAGAUAUCGGGAGGAACACCAGUGGCGAAGGCGGCUUUCUGGCCUGUUCUUGACGCUGAGGCGCGAAAGCUAGGGUAGCAAACGGG
rnacentral:rRNA from 1 species